UCUAUCCAAGGCAGUCACAACCACUCCUUAUCAACCACCAGGCCAGGCCCCACAGAGGGCUCUGUGAUGCAGAGCAGCUGCACUGAGAGAUGAGAUUCUGGUGAGGAAGAAAGGAUUUUCUACAUAUAGACCAUGGCAUCUGAGAAAAGCUUUUAGUCUUUCACCACUGAAUAAGGAGCCCACACUGCAAUUUAGCUAUCAUGCUUUCUCCAAUCAGGAGCCGCUUAUGCAUCUGAAUAUCACCUUUACUCUGGGCAUACUCCAGUAGAGCAGAGAACAAGAAUGAUACCUGCCUGGUGGGUUAUUGCAAGGGUUACAAAUAGCACAGG